rnacentral:rRNA from 1 species
GGGAAUCUUCCGCAAUGGACGAAAGUCUGACGGAGCAACGCCGCGUGAGUGAUGACGGCCUUCGGGUUGUAAAGCUCUGUUAAUCGGGACGAAAGGCCUUCUUGCGAAUAGUUAGAAGGAUUGACGGUACCGGAAUAGAAAGCCACGGCUAACUACGUGCCAGCAGCCGCGGUAAUACGUAGGUGGCAAGCGUUGUCCGGAAUUAUUGGGCGUAAAGCGCGCGCAGGCGGAUUGGUCAGUCUGUCUUAAAAGUUCGGGGCUUAACCCCGUGAUGGGAUGGAAACUGCCAAUCUAGAGUAUCGGAGAGGAAAGUGGAAUUCCUAGUGUAGCGGUGAAAUGCGUAGAUAUUAGGAAGAACACCAGUGGCGAAGGCGACUUUCUGGACGAAAACUGACGCUGAGGCGCGAAAGCCAGGGGAGCGAACGGGAUUAGAUACCCCGGUAGUCCUGGCCGUAAACGAUGGGUACUAGGUGUAGGAGGUAUCGACCCCUUCUGUGCCGGAGUUAACGCAAUAAGUACCCCGCCUGGGGAGUACGACCGCAAGGUUG